AUUGAACGCUGGCGGCAUGCUUUACACAUGCAAGUCGAACGGUAACAGCACUUCGGUGGCUGACGAGUGGCGAACGGGUGAGUAAUACAUCGGAACGUGCCUAGUAGUGGGGGAUAACUACUCGAAAGAGUAGCUAAUACCGCAUGAGAUCUAAGGAUGAAAGCAGGGGACCUUCGGGCCUUGCGCUACUAGAGCGGCUGAUGGCAGAUUAGGUAGUUGGUGGGAUAAAAGCUUACCAAGCCGACGAUCUGUAGCUGGUCUGAGAGGACGACCAGCCACACUGGAACUGAGACACGGCCCAGACUCCUACGGGAGGCAGCAGUGGGGAAUUUUGGACAAAGGGCGCAAGCCUGAUCCAGCAAUGCCGCGUGCAGGAUGAAGGCCUUCGGGUUGUAAACUGCUUUUGUACGGAACGAAAAGCCCUCUUCUAAUACAGGAGGGUCAUGACGGUACCGUAAGAAUAAGCACCGGCUAACUACGUG
rnacentral:rRNA from 1 species